GACGAACGCUGGCGGCGUGCUUAACACAUGCAAGUCGAACGAUGAAGCCGGAGCUUGCUCUGGUGAAUUAGUGGCGAACGGGUGAGUAACACGUGAGUAACCUGCCCUUGACUCUGGGAUAACUGCUAGAAAUGGUAGCUAAUACCGGAUACGACCCUCGGAGGCAUCUCCAGGGGGUGGAAAGAAUUUCGGUCAAGGAUGGACUCGCGGCCUAUCAGCUAGUUGGUGAGGUAACGGCGCACCAAGGCGACGACGGGUAGCCGGCCUGAGAGGGUGACCGGCCACACUGGGACUGAGACACGGCCCAGGCUCCUACGGGAGGCAGCAGUGGGGAAUAUUGCACAAUGGGCGCAAGCCUGAUGCAGCAACGCCGCGUGAGGGAUGACGGCCUUCGGGUUGUAAACCUCUUUUAGUAGGGAAGAAGCGAAAGUGACGGUACCUGCAGAAAAAGCACCGGCUAUCUACGUGCCAGCAGCCGCAGUAA
rnacentral:rRNA from 1 species